UGAGCUAAAUUACUGCUCUUAUUAUUGUCUUUCCAUCAAGCAUGUUAGAAGGUCCUUUACAACACUAGGAUGAAUGAUAUCAGAGGUAGCUGUGUUUGUUAUAUUGUUUUCUAUCCCACUACCAGCUUGUCUAGGACAUUAUCAUUGUGACAGGUGCACUUUCAAUCAAAAUCUUGUCAAAUGACGAAGCUCCAGCUUCCAUUUCUCUACAGCCGCCCCCAUAAGUUCCAUCAUUCACAACUGAGAAGUCUUUAAACAGGAGCAACGUUGUCCAUUGAUGUAAUUCCCCAAACAUAGGCCACAGGUAUCACUCAACAAGCCUGCAUUGGAUUUUACUUUACCAAUUGCCUUGUAGAUGUACUAAUAUAUUUUUUUUAUAUAAAAA